CUUCUCUUUUUACUUCCCCACCAUGAGGUGCAUGGUUUAUGCUCUGCCCAGCACUUCCAUCAUGAUAGGCUGCCUGGCCACAGGCCUAAACCAAUGGAGCCAGCUGAUUACGGGCUAGAGCAGUGAUGGCGAACUUACAGCACGAGUGCCACAGCAGGGUGUUUGUAUCAUUGAAAGCUCUAAAAGGUUUGCCAUCACUGGACCAGAAAUUUAUAAAACUGGGCUUAAGUAAACCUUUUCUCUUUAUCUGUUGAUUGUCUCAAGUAUUCAUUAUAAGUAAUGGAAAACUAACUAAGAAGCAUUGCAAAUGACCUGAGAGUUCUCAUUAGCUGCUCCAGAAGCUGAUGGGAAAAAUACAGUUUCAAUCUUGUUUAUAGCAAAUAUUUCACACAUAAGUUCCCUAAUUCAGUGAAUUCACUGAAGUGGGAACCUUAAAAAGGGGGAGGGGGUAGGCAGAUUGUCUUUUCUAUUUCAUAGUUUAAGGCAUUCGUAGAAAAUCAAAAUUGACAAUAUGACCUGAGAAGAGGCACAAAAUAGUUCCUUUAAGGAUAUACUCAAAGACUAACUCUUCUAAAUCUACUUUCUGUAUCUUAUUUGUCCCAUCUGAUCUCCUUAGAUACAUUUUGGAAGCUGUGCACAUUUAGUGCAUUUGCCUGACCAGAUUCUUUUCAGGCCUUUGAAACACUACCCACAUUUGAAGGUGUGCUUCUGUUUAAAUCACACAUGCACUUCACCACAGUUACUAAUUUUAUGUUUAGGAAAUUAUUCACCAUCUUGACAUAUGUAAAUUCUUCCCCAAAGAUUUUUUUCUUUACUGUUAAUUAGAAUGGUUUAUUAUAUAAAAUUUUUUCACCAGGUCUCUCGUGAAGGAGACAUUUGGUCUUUUAUGUAAGUACUUCACCUAUUACUUAUUAGUACAGUAUGUGUUUUGUCAACAUCCUGCUGAAUUUGGACCCAGGCCAUGGAAUUUUCUCAUCUGUUUAGUGAGAAGUCUCAGGUUUACUCAUACCAGCUACUCCGUGGAUGGACAAUGUUAAAAUAUUAUCAAGGCCAAGGACAAUAUUUGUAGGAAUUAUACAAUAUGCUAUUAAAAGGUUUUCUAAAAUUAAGAAAACCUUGAUUUUUUUCCCCCCUUACACAUUGUUAUAGCCAUCUUUAAAUGUGUAACUCCCGGUUGUGAAUCAAAUAAGAAUAGAACAGAAAACCAUUUGUGUCACUUAUUUCAUGCAUUGUUAUAUGAUGUGGUAUUGUGAAAUAGAUUUUAUAAGCUUUGGGAUCUAAUAAGAGCCUGAGACCCUGUUUGGGUUAUAAAUAUGUGCAGUAUAUUAUUUAAGUCUUCAGAAAUAAAAGCAGAGAAUCAUUUUCUUAUGUUAUCAAUUCCUCUAUGGAAAAGCAUAUUAAAAUGUAGAAAAUAUAAUAGUAUGUAAUUUAGCAACAUAAUAUACAAUGUGGGCUGAGAGACAAUUACAGUGUUUUAUUUCCCUAUAUUUUCCAUUUUAACUGAAUGCAUUUUAGCAACAAUUGGUUUCUGGCUGUAACAUUAUUUUAGCUGUUUCAUAAAGCUUUAUAGCAAAUUACUGUGGUGUACCAGAUAAAAUAAAUUCCUGACUUCACUCUUAAAAGUCGUAUUACAAGCAGGCAUAAUUUUUUACUUUUAUUGGUAAGCAUGUAUUUUACAAUAUUUUUGUAUGUGCUGUCAAAAAUCUUAGUUCAGGAUUGUUGCUCCCAACAUUAUCAGAGUGGUUUCCACUGUAUUUAAGAGUUUGUUUUAUGUAGCAAAUCACCCGUGUUCUGCCUGUUGGGUUUAUAGUAAGCUGAUCUAUACAGUACCGAGCUUCCAGUCCACAGCAGCUGUCUGAAUGGGACCUUGUUGUGUCUUUGGUUCACACAGUGCGGCCAGUGUCCUGUCCCCUCCGCAAUCCUACUUUGUCCUCUUUUUAGGUGAUUUCUGGCGCUGCUCUUUGCCCCUGGUGGUUACCUCCCUUCCUGUUGCUCCUCCGAAGCAUUUGAAUUCUUACAACAGCCUGACAGUUGUUUACAUAACCACAGAUCCCAUUUGGGCAAGAUAUUUUGCCAUACGGAAAAGACUAGAAAGGAAUAAAAUGAACAAACACAUAUGCAUUUCUCCCUCCAAUUUUAUUGUGAACAUUUUGCACACUUACUGCAGAUUUUUAAGGAAACAAUAUGUACUUAAGGGGUUCCUGACGGUAUUCCUUCCCUCCUGGUACUGCACUUCUGGAGGGACCAUUUCCAGUCUAUGUUUUAUGCUUCUAGCACAUUCCAAGAUACCCCAAAACAAUCUGUUAUUGUAUUGCAUGUUCUUAAGUUUGUCUAUGUAAAGGCAAUAAUGUUAAAAAUGGAAGCAUCGUGUUACAGGUGACAUUUUUACAUAAUCUAAUCUUCUUUACAUUUUACAAAUCAACAAUUUUGUCCUUGAUGCCACGUUAGAAUAACUGAAAAGGCCUUGUGUAAAUUUAAAUGAAAUAAUGAAUAUGUAAGUCCUGAUAAUCUCAGUUUAAUAACCUGUGAGGUAGAAGUUGCAAGUUUUAUUUCUCUAUGUCUGAAAAAAUUUAGUUUUAUAUUGUCUUCUAAAUACAUUUUAUUACUGAGAGUUAAACUGGGAUGGUCUCUAAAUGAGGAUUUUUUUCCUCUGAAAUUAUGAAGAGAGAAAGCCUCAUAAACGCUUCACAAAAGCAAUGGUAGGAGAUAGAUGGGGAACAAAAAUAAGGCACUGGAGACUUGUAAGACUGUAAAAUUCAGUAUAUUUUUAAAUAGACUGAAAAAAGCAGAGGUAGGUAAGUUUACCAAAUCAUCCACCCUGACAACACGGUGUUAUGGUGGAAGCGCUUCCGGUGAAUUCUGCAGCGCAACUCCUUUAUCUCUGUACCCCGAAUCACGGUGAAGCACCUGCCCCACAGGGCCUAGGCUCUGUCCCCAGCAAACCCUCCCUGAUCUGGGCUCUACUCUUCUGCAUGGCCCGGCCUGGCUCAGACCUGCUGCUACUUGCAACUUGGAGUGCUUCAGAAACACCCUGGGGGUGUGGCUGCGAGAAGUCUCCCUUUCCUCUUAGGAAGAGCCUCAGAUGAAGCCGCAGUAGAUGGAAGUGGAAAUCUGAAAUGAAAGGUAGCCAUCUCAAUUGGACAUUGAGUCAGUCAAGGCCUAACAUACGUCAUGAAGAAUUAACAUGUCACAAGACUUGGUCAUGAUAUAUUAGCUAGGCAGAGUUUCCUCUUGUGAGCAAGCAUGCUAUUGGGCGUCCUACAGAGGCAACAUAGAUGAAUGCUUGGGUCCCUUUCCAACCUGCGGGCUCUGGAUAUGUCACCCAUGUCCCCUAACUAAGGUCAGCGGAUCCGCAGAGGAGCCAAGGAAAUUAGUUUCUCACCUGGGACUUCUGCAUGUCCUGGGGCAGAGGACUUUGUGGUUGUUAGUUAUUUCUGCUGGCUCUUGUUCCUUGUCACUCCUUUAUUAGCAGUUGGGCAAGACAGUAAGUAUAGGGUGAGCAAGUUUAGGGGAUGGGUUGGUUUAGUUCCCAACCAGUGACUGUCUAUUAUUUUCCCUCAACUUAAAUCAAAACAGUUUUCCCUUUUUUGUCUUGUUUUAUAUAUUGGGGUUGGUGUUGAUGGUUGAUGUAGUUUUAUAUGAUACUGUGAAAUCUGUAGAAAGUUUUGGAAGAAUAAAAUGUGUGCCUUUUAAAAUUUACGAGAGUGGCUAUCUAAGGCUGAUGUGUUUUCGCUCUUCUUUGUUUUCCUAACAUAGUGGACUUUCAUUUAUUUGCCUGAGGUUCAGAGAAAAAGUAAACUACUGUAACAUAUACGUUAUUUUCUGGAACAUUUUCUCAUUCUAACUUACUAGAAUUUUCAAAUGAGACAAGAAUGAAAAAGAAAGUGUCCCGCAGAAUCAAUGUGGAAAUUCUUGGGUAGUCUCAGGAAUGACUAGACGUAGAAAAUGACUUCUGAGAAGUCAAUGUAGGGGCAGGAUUUACAGUGAAGCAUUCAUAUUCUGUGUUUUGGCUCAAAAUAUGUUAGUAAAUGGAUAUCAGUUUACCUGGAAGUUUUGUACCACUUGUAAAACAUUGCUUACUCUAAAUUUUAGAAUGAAGACAUUGAGUAUCAGCUGUUUAGAAUAAAAACAUCCUUCUGAGAAAACCACAUUCUCAUUCAUAUGGGAGAUGUUGCUUUUGUUCUUAUAGUCAUAGAGAUGACCACAGUUACUGACACAAUAUACUUAAUCUUAUCCCAGGAUACUGUCAUUUUUAGCACUUUAUGCCCUGAGAUGGCUGUAUUUUUACAGUGGGGGGCAUAUGGUGGUCACUUCUACAGGCCAUUUCCCACCCCUAUUCCCAGCAGUAUCAUUUGAUGUUACUUCAAAUAAGUGCUCAGUGAGUGACUGGUCUAAACAUGCUACCAUAAUUUAGGGUAUACAAUUGUGAGGUUUUUUUUUUUUUUUUUUUUUUUUUUUUGCUGGAUCCUCCUUGUAAAAAGCAAAAGAGCUCCAUGAAAACCAAAUGGCACGGACCAGUCAAACCUGUUUUAAGCUUUCUGCAAGAAAGAAAAGUAAAAUCUACUUAAGGAGCUUUUCUGGAAGGCCCAGCUGGUGACUUUUGUUUCUCUCUCCUUAGUCAGAACUAGGGUUACUUGCCAACCAUAGCUGCAGCAGAUAUUGGGGUCUGUUAUUCCUUACUGGGAACUGCUGCUGUGCACAAAGCAGAAGCUGUAUCCCUGAGCAAAAAGGAAGGCCGUCUGUGCUAUGUAGACAGAAGGAUCUGCCACAGGACGCCACCUGUGUGCAAGAGGUCGCCACCCAAGGAAAAGGGCAGAGACGAGAGAGCCAUGUUUUCAGUCAUCAGUCUUGGAGCCAGAUCACACUUGACUGCUAGGAACAAUAGGGUUAAAAAGAAGUUAACAGUCCAUAUAGUCCUUUCUUUUGAAACUGACCAUAGGGAGUUCUUGAAUUACAGCAAUUUGUAGUGUAAUAGAGCUUCUAUAGCCCUUGAGUUAGAAGACCAGACCAUGGGGUCUGGCCCUGGCUCUGCCAACAUCUGACUUUGUUAUGCUCAACAAAUCACCGCAUUCUUCUUGGCCCAAGGCUUCCUCCUUUUAGCUCUGAAAUGAGGGAGUUGAAUGACACUGUGAUUCUUCCAAGUAAAAGACUUUUUGAUUAUUUGAGUUUAUCGCUUACAAUUUACUCAGUGUGAGUCCAAAUCUAGCUCUCUUUAGAUAGUACCACGUGGGAAAGUUUGUUAAGCAUAGUAUUUGUGGUCAUUUGUGUGAAAAAUUACCAUCAGGUUACUUGUUUGCCUUAGUUGUUUGAAUGGCAAUCUAACGCAUGCUUUUUUUAAAAAAGAAAUGUCACCACCUUUUUAUUAAGAAAAGUGAGACUUGCCUGUGCCUUGGACCUGUGGCCACACAAAGGAGUGGCCCUGUUAAUGUUGAUGUUGAACUUGUAUUUUUACUUUUGGACUCUAAUGUUCAGAGCUGUAGAGAGGAGAGGGAAAGCUUUCUGUUCAUAUGAGCGAGGAGAGCUUAUUCCCAGCAUUUGUUGCCAUUGGUGGUAAAGUAGCUCCAGUCCUGGGAGCUGAAGUGGUAGGGAUUAGAGUAUUUCAGGAUUAUGAACACCAGUAGGAUCUUUUGUAGGUCAGUAUCCAGUACAGAACAGGGCUGGCCUGAGCUCCCCAUUCCUGCGUGCACCUCUAGACAGAGCUCUUCGGAACACCUGCACAUGAACAGUGGGCAGACAGUUUAACCCAUGAUGACAACUCUGCCUCUAGGGGCCGAAUGCACCAGAGAGCAAGCUAAGGAGGCAGUGGUGGAAUCACUCUCAUGAUCUUAAUGAUGACAGGAAGCAGCAGAGGGGUUUUGGAAAGUGCCCUAGCCAUGCUUCAUCAGCUUUGGAGGCUGCAGAGGGUCUUGGGCCCUGUGAGUGGCUCAGGGAGUCUGUAGACUGUGGGUGGCUGGGAGGGGCUUAUGCAGCAAGGUGCAGAAGGAGGACCAGGUGCAGUGUCUUUUCAGAGGAGGACUUGAUGUUGGAUGAUGAAAUAGUACGCCUGUCUGUCUCUCUCCUCCUGUCUUUUUUCUUUCUCUGCCUUUAACUUAGUAUUUUAUUCUGAGCAGGCACAUCUUUGUGUUGGUAGAAAAUGGUGGAUAGUUUAGUCUCUUAAGGCCUUUGCCCUUGAAUAUGAAAAAAAAAAGAUUUCAGAUAGAAAUGUGAGGAACUUGAGGUUUCUGUAUGGAAUAUGAGUUGCAAUGAAUAAUUAAAUAAGUUAUAGCUAAUAAAAUAUACAGCACAUUGCUUCAAACUGAAACAUUCUAACUCUGCCUUAGGGAUGAAUGCUUUUCAUUAUUUUUUAAUUGUUGCCAGGAUUGACCUUGAAGGUCUUUUCUGGCAGAUAAUUUGUUAUGGUAAGAAUGAGAUCACUGAGCAUUUUAGCACAAGCUACAUGAUGCAUAGAGUUUCUUCCUGUUAUGUAAUAGUGAUCCGAUAAGUCUGUUUUCCUGGGAAUUUGCUCCUCUGUUUGGGUGGUAGCUGCGCUGUCAGAUUUUGUUUCUGGCAGUCUCAUCAGUGCUGUCCUACAGGGAAAUCUUUGAAGUGGUGAUGCCCAUUUCUGAGCUCCUGUCGUACAUACUCAGAUGCUCCUAAGGACCCCAAGGCACCAGAGGAAUGAUGGACCAUUGGGUAAAAAGGCCAUGGGGAGAUGAAGCACUGACUUCUCUCAGGAGAAGGGCAUUUUGGAAGAUCUCCUUCAAGGAGUAGAACUGUACAGUUUAUCCAGAACACUGUGGCUAUAAAAUAAUAAAUGCAUAGGAAAAAUCUGUAGUUUUCACCAGAUAGAACAAGAAAAACCUGUUGUAUUCAGCUGAGGAAUUAAAUUUAGCAAACAGUUUCUUGUUUGCUUAGAAUGUGUGCUGAAUCUUGACUUGAGUAUUAAGUUCAAGAACAGGUGAUGUUGAUAUGCAUAAUGUUAGUGGGUUUUAUGUAUACAGCUUGAAAAAAUAAUUUUUAUUCUGUUGAUUGUACCAUAUGGUAUGUCUUUAUUUCUCUCUUAGCAACAUGUAGGAAAAAAACCCAUAGUAAUACAAUUCUCAUGAUACUUUCUUCCUGACAAAGAAAAUUCAGUAUGUUUUCAAAUAUGAAGAUGUAUAAUGUACAUGAGACAUAUAUAGAAUAACAAAUGGAAUUGUUAUCAGGUAUUCACAUAUUGAUAUGAAGACAUCUGGUUCCUUUUAUUGCAUAGAAAAUACACAUUUAAAUGUUUUUAGUAAUAAAAUUUUGAAUUACUUAUCAUAAAUGACAAUUUCAAUUCUAUUUCAAAUAUGUAUAAAAAUAGUUGCCAAGUGUGGUCUAUAGAAAAUAUAUUGCUUUCUCUUCUGAGCAAUUGCCAGUGCAUCUUUUUUCUUUAAAGCAAACUAACCCUACCGAUUACUUUACUAAGCCUGUAGUUCCUUAUUGUCAUUUCAAUUUUAAAAGGUGUUUAUUUAUAGACUAUGAAGUCAACAUGUGUCCUUGGCUUAGAGUGUUAGAGUUGUAAACUUAGACCCUUUGCACUGGUAAUGUUAUUUUACACUUUGGCCUGAUAAACCCGAGGCAAACAGCUGUGGUUUAACAUUUAUAAAACUUCAUAGAAUUAUACUAAAGGUAUCAUGUUUGGUUUCAGAUAAUUCAAAAUAUAAAAACUUAUAAUUGUUAACCAAGGUCCAAAGUAUGAAAUUAUUCCAAGAGAAACAAAGGUCCACUGGAUAUCCUGGAUAAUAUAAACUGGAGCAGAAAAAAAUAUGCUGUAACCAAGUUUAUCUUCAUUUACAUGGAAGUAAAGUGCCUUUUAAUGUAGUAGAUUUAUCUCCUCAAUGCCUAAGGCUUGGUUUUCUUCGCUUGGAAAGCAAAAUGCUAGAAAAUAAUUCAAAAUUGCUGCUUUAAUUCCUAUUACCACAUUUCCUAUACUGUAAUGAAAUCUGCAGUGUGAUAUUGGUUCAUGGUACCCUAUAUGGUGUCAUACAUGAAAAUAUCAAGUUGUGAAUAUAUAAACUUUUGUCGGGUUAAUUUUGAGACGAUUUUGAUUGUUUCUGCCUAUUUUCCAGGGCAUAGGUCAUCUGCUGUACACUUUGGGCAAAUUAUAUUUAUUUGUGGUUACAAACUGGAUUUAAAGAUACUUUCUCUGAUGUAAUUGAGAUUUUAGCCACUUACAUUUACAUUUCUUAAGGGUGCUAGUAGGAGCAAGUCUUUGUUGUUGUUGGAGAGAAGAGGUAGCAAGAUUUUACUGCUUUAUGUGCAGCCCCACUUCAUGCCUAAGGUCCACUUUCCUUGUAAUAUUACUUGGUGAGUUUUAUUUUACUCUAUUCUCUAGAUCGGAUCCAUUGCUGGAUAAUAGGAAGUUAGUAACCUACGAAUGGGUUAUGCUCCAGGAAGUCAGUAUUAAACUGAUUACUGUUUUUUUGUAUCAGAAAUGAUAUUAUGAAUUAAAAUACCUAGACUAGUCCAUUUACUAUGUCAUGCUAUGAAAAUUAGAGACAUGCAUUUUAUAUGCCAUGAAUAUGUAAUUAUUGCAUCUGUGUAAUUUAUAUGAACAUUUUUCAUACUACACUCCUUACUGUGUCCCUUGAGGCUUUGUGGCUUUGGAGCUGGACAGGUAGACACUUUGGUUUAGGCUUGCCUACUGGUUGGUUUGUGAGCUUGGACAAGCCGCUCCUGAAUCUGCCCUCUGUGUGCUAGGCAGGCCUGGUGAAGAUUCAAAGUGAUAAUGUAGACGUGGAGCAGCUGUUCCAUAGUAAGUGCUUGAUUAAUAUUAGAUAUUUAUUAGUACAUGGACCAUCUUAUUUUUAUCUUUAGCAGCUCAUUCAGGGUCUGGCACUUAGGAGGGGGUAUAAUAAAUGUUGAAUGAUGAAUGAAUGAAUAAAUAAUAACUAACCACUUAGAGAUCCUAGAAUGGACUACAACUACUUUUGUGCCUUCUAAUUUGGAGAUUGUUCUCUUGACUUGACUCAUUCCUCCCUAAAGGCUUAUGUGCAAAGCCUUCUACACCGUCAACUGAGCAAGAAGCCAAGGGAUUGUCCUUGGUUCUUCAUAAUCAAGCUUUCUCCAUCUUCCUGUGAAUUUAAUUACUUGGACUGAUACAUGCAAUAGCUGCUCAGUGGAGGGAGCGGUCAGGAACAAGUUUAUAUAAAAAUGUGUUUAGAUCUAGGUAUAUGGUAGUGGUAAGGGAAGAGAAAACUGGAGAAAAUUCUAGACAGAGAGAUUUACAUGAACCCAUGGACAAAGGCCAAAAGUACGAAGUACAGUACUAUAGUGAAGGGUUAGUAGACCAGAACAGCUGAAACACACACACACACAGAUGUUAAUGGAGCCCACUAAAGGAUAGUUUCAGUGGAAAGGUUAUGGGAUGAUUUACUAAAUGAUAAAGCAAACAAACCCUGCACAAGUUAGAGUGGUUACAACCUGAAUGACUUAACUGUCGCCAUGAAGAGUACUUUGAGCUUUUGACUGUUUAUUUUCUGUUUUAAAAAGUAGGAACAUUUUGAUUGGGGUUUUCACAUUUACACAUCACUUUCAUAUUAGCUUUUAUUGUACCGAGGCCUUACAGGUCACAAGUGUGGGCAGUUAUCUACUUCUGUCAUACGCGGAAGUACACUUUUAAUACUUGAAUUAAUACUGAAAUGUUUCUGAAUAUAAUCUAAGUUAAUGUUUUACUUGGUCUAGCGAAUAAGUCACAGAAGUUAGUUCCAAAACAACUUACAAACUUUAACAAUUUUUUCACAUAGUCCUUAAUUUUAGUUUUCUAACUUAGGUGAAAAUAGAUGAGUAGUUGAUAUGAAAGAGUAUUCACACUGAAAUGUGGACUUAAUAAGGGGUCUUGUGUGAGGAAGACUAAGUAUAGAGGCCAGCUUGAAUGAGACCCUGCUGCUGCUUGCUUAUCCUUAAGGCUGGAAAUGUAUUUCUUUUUUUUUUUUCUUGGAUUAAAUUCUUUUAUUGGUACAUUGUAGGUAUACAACACAAGUACAUUUCUCAUUGGGAAUUGUACCUUUACAUAAUGCAUCUUGGUUCUUAUUUUUUCCCCAUUCCUAGCCCUCCCUUCACGCUCUCCACCCUUCCCUAUUUACAAAGACUUUAUUUCCAUUUUUUCCAUUUCUCAUCAUUUUUCCUUUCCCUUCUUUCCUUUCCCCUGCCCCUCCCACUACUCCUACCCCUUUGGACCUUUUCUUCCUAUUUUGCCUAGUCGAUUAUUCAUUCUAAUCAUUGGUACAUUGUAGGUAUACAGUAUAAUGAUAUUCAUCAUUGGAAAUUUGCACCUUUACAUGGUCUCUCUUGGUUCUUAUUUUUCACCCUUGCCCAGCCCUCCCUCCCUUCAACUCCUCCAGUCCUCCCUAUUUACAAAGAUUUUGUUCCUAUUUUUCCAUUUUCUCCUAUUAACCCCAUUCCCUUCUAUCCUUUCCCCUAGCGCUUUCCCACAUCUCAUUUUGUCUUUAUGACUGACAUCAUUGGAAAAUAGAAGUUGUUGUUUAGUAGGUCAUGUGGGAGAAUACAAUUUUGUUUUUUUCUUUCAAAGUAGAUCUAUUGUCCUCUACCAACUCUUGUUUCUGAAUAGAAGCCUAAUUGUUGACACAAUGAUGAUUUUGUAGAGCCCCCUGAAAAUUCAGCUUAGCAAAUCCCCCUCGCCUUGUUGGAGAUUCUCCAUGACCUUGGGCUCUGCGGGGAGCUUUGGGGAAGGCAGGUGAGCGUGCUGUCCCUGUGAUUCUCACAUUGUGCGGUUCUGCUCCGUGCAUUUGCACACCUCACUUCAACCCUUUCCUCUCUUGCUGCCUCGAGGUGCUAGUGAAUUCCUAAGCCACUGAGGAUGUCUGGUGUCAAAAAGAAAAAUUACUUGAUUUACAUCCUGAAAUUGAAUCAAGGAAAAAUUACUUAAAAUCAACAGCAUACAUACUCUGAAAGUGAUAUCUGGAUUUUUUUAAAGAGGUAAAUACAGGCAUAUAAUUAAAUAAGAAAUAAAUUUUAAUUCCCAGUGGUUUUCAAAUGCUUAACUUCUAGUGUUACCUUCCAGCUUUUAAUGUGUGUAUAAUAUACCAUGUUGUGAACUCCUUUGUUACGUAUUUGUUCAUCUUUUUUUUCCUGGAGAAUUUUGCUGGUGCAGUUUGAUAAAGCAUACUGUUUUCAUUAUUUUAUAAUAUUCUAAAACAUGAACGUCAUGUCUUCCUUUAGAUGACAAUUCUGAGUAGCCUUUAUUCUAAAUCAAAUGCAGCGAAUACUUCGCUGUAUUCUCUUAGACAGAGAUAGGAUUUCUCUAAGGUAUAUACCUAUAAAUGAAAUUGACAGGGCAAGGAAUGUAUUUAUCUUUCUUCUUUUACAGUUGUUAGCAAAUUCUACAACUUAUAGUCCAGCUAACAAUGUCUAAGUCUUCUUUGCUUCACAUUCUUGUCGGUACUGUUCUUAAUGACUUUACACUUGCUGCUCUGAUAGGUAUGGAUGCUUUCUUAGUAUCUUUCAAUUAUUUGAAGGAGCACGGUGGUCUCCUCAUUCCUUUCUCAGGUCCUGCUCUUUCCUGGGCACUGGGAGGCUGAGCUGCCCGUAUCCCAGGGACGUUCCCACUCUGACUGUCGCCACCGGACAAGGAACAAAACACAGCAAUGGCAACAGAACACAAAUAAGAUCUCAGUAAAGUACCCUGCUGUAGAACAGGGGACUGAGGUGGUCUCUGCUGCUUCAGUUCAGCCCCUCAUGCAAGGUGCAUCUUCGGGCUGUGAGAGUUUGUAACUCUUUCCAAACAACAACCAGCAGUCACGAUGAUAGUAGUGAUGCUUAUUACAAUGCAGGACAGUAACUGCCAGGCCUUUUCUUUCUUUCUUUCCCUCAUUUACCUGCCCUGCCCUUCCCUUUCCUCUUUGAUGCUUUUGCCAGGUGCUCCUGCCCCUGUGGUCACGGAGCCAGCUCCUUGUCUGUGGAUAGCAUCGAUGUUUAAAUAAAACCUUGUUUUUUAAAAUAAAGAAGCAAGUCGUGUUAUAUACAUGUACCUGCUCCCCAGGAUAAAUGUAAACGUGGUGUACUGUGAACAUGUGCUAAUAAAAUAAAAAUUAAAAAUAACAAAACAACACCUUUGCUCUUUGCUGUCCCCCACCUUUGGGAGGAGCUUCCUAACAGUCAAGCCUACUUAUUUCAUGGGAACCCACCCUUUCCUGACUGUGAACAGCUAACUCCACUUCCCCCUAGCCGCCCCCAGGUGAAUUGGUGCUCUCUGACCUUGCAGGUGUAAGCCCCAGGUUGACCGACCUUUCAGGUUUAGCUCCUAUAGAAAAUGUUUCUGUCUUCUUGCGGUGAGCCACAUCAUCUCAUUGCUUCUCUUUUUUCUCCUUAGUUAUGAUUACUAUCUAAUAGCCUGCAUUUUAUACUUACCAUUUGUCUUCCUUCCCCAAUACAACUGAAUGUUAGUGAAAACACUAAAAGUUAAAUUGGGGUGGUUUUGUAUUUUACAGUAGCAGUUACAAUUUUAAAACAACAUCUGAUCCAAACAAAAAUGUAAUCCUGG
rnacentral:lncRNA from 1 species